AUCCUUGAUUCAUCCAUGUGUUUUAGUCCAUCUAACUCAUGUGUUAUUAUGCAUUUAUAAUUCAAAUGUUUUAAGGUGAUUGAUUCAUUUUCUUUUAAGUCAUGAAUCAAAUUUGGUUUUUAAGUAAAACUCAUUUUUGAAGUCAAAUUGUUUAGCAUUCAAUCAUGGAUCAUGUCAUUCAAAUCAAUGUCCAUUCAUUCAUAC
rnacentral:lncRNA from 1 species